UACGUAGGCGGAAGAUUAAGUCAGUGGUGAAAUCCCGCAGCUCAACUGUGGAACUGUCAUUGAUACUGGUUUUCUUGAAUUUAGUUGAGGUAGGCGGAAUGUGUAAUGUGGCGGUGAAAUGCUUAGAUAUUACACAGAACACCGAUUGCGAAGGCAGCUUACUAAACUAUGAUUGACGCUGAGGUACGAAAGCGUGGGGAGCGAACAGGAUUAGAUACCCUGGUAGUCC
rnacentral:rRNA from 1 species